CCUACGGGAGGCUGCAGUGGGGAAUAUUGGACAAUGGGCGAAAGCCUGAUCCAGCCAUGCCGCGUGUGUGAAGAAGGCCUUCGGAUUGUAAAGCACUUUCAGUGGGGAAGAAAGCCUUGGGGCUAAUACCCUCGAGGAAGGACAUCACCCACAGAAGAAGCACCGGCUAACUCCGUGCCAGCAGCCGCGGUAAUACGGAGGGUGCGAGCGUUAAUCGGAAUUACUGGGCGUAAAGCGCGCGUAGGCGGUCUGAUAAGCCGGUUGUGAAAGCCCCGGGCUCAACCUGGGAACGGCAUCCGGAACUGUCAGGCUAGAGUGCAGGAGAGGAAGGUAGAAUUCCCGGUGUAGCGGUGAAAUGCGUAGAGAUCGGGAGGAAUACCAGUGGCGAAGGCGGCCUUCUGGACUGACACUGACGCUGAGGUGCGAAAGCGUGGGUAGCAAACAGGAUUAGAUACCCUUGUAGUC
rnacentral:rRNA from 1 species